UACGUAGGCAGCAAGCGUUGUUCGGAGUUACUGGGCGUAAAGAGUGCGUAGGUGGUGCCCUAAGUCUGUUGUGAAAUCUCCCGGCUUAACUGGGAGGGUGCGGUGGAAACUGGGGUGCUUGAGUGUGGGAGAGGUAAGCGGAAUUCCUGGUGUAGCGGUGAAAUGCGUAGAUAUCAGGAGGAACACCGGUGGCGAAGGCGGGUCUCUGGGCAAUAACUGACGCUGAGGAGCGAAAGCGUGGGGAGCGAACAGG
rnacentral:rRNA from 1 species